rnacentral:rRNA from 1 species
AAGACCUCGCGCUAUUAGAGCGGCCGAUGCCCGAUUAGCUAGUUGGUGGGGUAAUGGCCUACCAAGGCGACGAUCGGUAGCUGGUCUGAGAGGAUGAUCAGCCACACUGGGACUGAGACACGGCCCAGACUCCUACGGGAGGCAGCAGUGGGGAAUUUUGGACAAUGGGCGAAAGCCUGAUCCAGCCAUGCCGCGUGAGUGAAGAAGGCCUUCGGGUUGUAAAGCUCUUUCGGCCGGAACGAAAUCGUCCGGGCUAAUACCUCGGAUGGAUGACGGUACUGGAAGAAGAAGCACCGGCUAACUACGUGCCAGCAGCCGCGGUAAUACGUAGGGUGCAGGCGUUAAUCGGAAUUACUGGGCGUAAAGCGUGCGCAGGCGGCUUCUUAAGUCAGAUGUGAAAUCCCCGGGCUUAACCUGGGAACU